rnacentral:rRNA from 1 species
AUUGAACGCUGGCGGCAGGCCUAAAACAUGCAAGUCGAGCGAGCGGAGGACGGGUGAGUAAUGGCUGGGAAACUGCCUGAUGGAGGGGGAGAACUACUGGAAACGGUAGCUAAUACCGCAUACCAUCCGACAUGCACCGAGGGGAGUAGAUAGUAGGUGGGGUAACGGAUCACCUAGGCGACGAUCCAUCGCUGGUCUGAGAGUAUGACCAGCCACACUGGAACUGAGACACGGGCCAGACUCCUACGGGAGGCAGCAGUGGGGAAUAUUGCACAAUGGGCGCAAGCCUGAUGCAGCCAUGCCGCGUGUGUGAAGAAGGCCUUCGGGUUGUAAAGCACUUUCAGCGGGGAGGCGUUACCCGCAGAAGAAGCACCGGCUAACUCCGUGCCAGCAGCCGCGGUAAUUC